AAUAGUGCUGCUGUGUGAACAUAGGUAUGAAUGUAUCUUUUUGAAUUAUAGUUUUGUUUUAAUAAGGAAAAUCCUUUUUUGGGCUUCAUUCUUGAAAUUAAAACUGGGCCAAUAGCCUGAGAGCAGAACAGUGCUCUGUCCUUGCUAACUUUUUGAUCAUUGCAGCUCUAUCAAAGCCAAAUAUAGAUCUGGAUUUUACUAGAUUUGGCAGGAUUAUAGCAAACCUUGAAUCCCGUACAGAAAUCUCUCUUAAGAGAUUUCAUCUCUUGAGGUCAAAAUAGAGGCCCUAAUAUAGUAUCUUUGGAAGAAGGAAAUUUUGUGGAUAUUGACUAGAUGAACUGCUUUUCUGGUGAUAUCUUUUUAUUUUUUGCUUUGCUACUUAUGCACAGGCUCUGUGGUGAGACUGAGCUCAAAUUCUAGAUCCACCAUUUACUAACUGUAUGACCUUGGGGAAGUUAUUUAACCUCUGUGUGCCUCAAUUUCCUUAUUUGAAAAAGGAUGCUAAUAAUUGCACCUAACUGUAAGGGUGUUAUGAAGAUUAAAGGAGAUAAUGCACCUAAGUGCUUAACAGAGUGCUCGGUGUAUAAUAAGCCCUCAAUAAAUGUUAGCUGGUAGUAGUUUUUGUUUCCAGUGCCUCAUCCUUUGUUCACACUUUGUUUUUAUAUUCUGGGUAUUAUAUAGUAAAAAUGGAGAAGGGGUCAUUGAUACAGUCUUCUAAAAACUGAUUUCAGAUUUAGUAGGAAAAACAUUGGACUGGGAGAUAAGAGUUUUGGGUUCUAAUCCUGGCUUUGACAUUAACUAUUUGCAUGAGACUGGGCAACUCUUAGAGUUUCCUUACCAAUUAAAUUGAGGUAGCUGCACUAGAUGUCUCUGACAUGCCUUCUAGUGCUCAAGUCUUGUGACAUUAAGCUUCAAUUAGAAAUCUUUGGUUUGGGGACCUCUUUAUUAUCCCAUAGCUUUUAACCUUGUUUCCCUUCUCAUUGCCCAGUAGGAAUUGGACUAGUGUUAGUGGAAGGUGGGUUAGGGAGAGGAGGUAGGAGUCUCAGUGCAUUUGGGUGGAAGAAAGUUAUUGGCAAGUGGGAAGAAGUGCUCUUGCGACUCAUGUUUGUUCAUUAAAAUUAGAAGGAAAUGGGACUUCCUCUAAUGGGACCACUGGGUGGUCCAGUGGCGAAGACUUGGUGCUCCCAGUGCAGGGGGCCCGGGUUCAAUCCGUGGUCAGGGAACUAGAUCCCACAUGCCACAACUAAGAUUUUGCAUGCCGCAACUAAAGAUCCCGCAUGCAGCAAUGAAGAUUCCGUGUGCUGCAACUAAGGCCCAGCGCAGCCUAAAUAAAUAAUAAAUAAAUAAAUAAAUAAAUAAAAUUUAAAAAAAGGUUAGAAGGAAAGAAUUGAAUCAGGUCUUAAUUAAUAGUGUCUUUACUUCCCUCCCCCUUUAUUAUUAUCAGAGGUCAGAGCUGAUUAGCAAAAUGCAUUUACCCAAGUAUUUUCAGGGUUCCUGUUUAUAGAGUCCAAAUAAUAUUGUUAGUUACUUUUAUCAGCAUAUGCCCCUAAAGGUAGAUUCAGUGAACUUAACGUGUCAAAGCUUAAUUGAAGACAAGCUCCAGUCUUAGUUCAAACUAGCUAAAUUCAGGGUUGUAUUCUACGAAUUUUGUUUCUAAUCAAUGGAUGAUGGGGUUAUUUGGAGAGGAUUUUUAAUAUAUACAACUCCUAUGGUAGCAUUUUGUUAUUUAAUAAAUACUUCAGUCUGAUUUCUUCUUUUGCUUUUUCUUCACCAGUUUCUCUAGAUGCCCAGAUGAAGGCAAUAUCACGUUUAAUCAGAGUUUAUCAUUUUGAGCAUUAAAUUCUCAGCUUGGAUUAUUUCAAUUCAAUUUCCCAAGAUAUAAAUUCUCCAAAAGAGGAAAUUUAUAACCCUCUGUGAUACUGACCCUGCCUAAAGCAAUAGAAUAGCUAUAGUGGCAAAAUCUAAAUAAUAGUAAUAAUAGCUUCUAUUUACAGAGUCCUACUGUAUAUUAUACAUGGCAUUGUAUUGAAUAUGUUAUUUUAUUAAUCCCGAGAACAACCCUAUGAGCUGGGUACUUUUGUUAUACCUGUUUUACAUUAGAAGAAAUUGUGCUUAGAGAUGUUAAGCAAAUUUGACAAAGUGUAAAGCUAGUAAGUCGUGGAGCUUGAAUUCCAAACUAGAUCUGCCUGAGUCAGGGCUUUCUUUUAUGUUCUUAUUCACGAAAGACUCAUUGAACAGAAAGGAGUGAGUGUUGGGCACAUGCAGCUUGGUGAUUCUGUAUAAAUCCUGUCAGAUUUUGAAUAGUGUAGACCUGAUAAAGUCAUUGUUAAUUUCUCAUCAUUACAGGACACUCAGUGUGGCAAAAAUCAGUAUCAUGGGAAGAGAUGUUAAUGUAGUAGGCAGACUAACAUUUUUUUUUUGGUUGUUGUUGUUGGUUAUUGCUCUAGCAACUACUACAAAGGCUGCAUUUACUCCACAAGUCAUGUAUACUUAAGGCAGAACACUGACUGCUUUUCAUGCUGGCAAAUCCGUACUUUACCAGUAUUGGCUACCUGUAAGGAAUGUGAGCAUGUUGGGUUUUAGAACAGGAAAAACACAACUUCCACCUCAUUUCACAGUAGAGUUCACUUAGGGAUACAGACUUUUUGGUGACAGUAGCUGGUACUUUCUGCUUGUUAUUUCUGAUACUUGCAUAAUGCUAACCUGGUAGAUACUGUCAGAUGACAAGCCUUCCUCCUACAUGUUCUCCAUAAAAGAACUGCUAGUGACAAGUAUUUUAUUAUAUUGAGAAUUUUGCUUCAUACUGUUUUAGGAUAAAGUGUAUUUAUCGUGAAGCCAGUAUUGUGAAAUGUUCUUUCUUUUCUUCCUCUGGAAUGUGGCAUUUUUUUUCUCAGUAAUGAACUAAGAUGCAAGUGCAUUGUGAAGGAGAAGUUGUUGCCCAGAUGGACCCCAGUGAAAGUAACUUAUGUAAAUAGAUUCUGCUUCUGUUUGGGAAAAUGAUCUAAGAUGGAUGCUGUGGUUUUUCUUUCCCUUGGGAGACUAAUACUUUAUCCCAAUAUUCGCAACUUAAGGUCAGCGUCUACUCCAGAGUCAGGAAGUUUUUUAGAUGUUACUAUCAUGUUCAGACUGUAGGCUUUACUAAGUGGCAAGGGGAAUUUAGGCUAGAUACAAAGACAGGUUUGGAAAAGCAUGGUAAGUUCUGGAAACUGUAAAUGGUUUCAUAAGGGCCAAAGCACAAUGACAGUGUGAGGAAGUGCCAAGAGAUGAGAAAGGAUAGAUUAGUAGAGACCAGGUAAUGAAGGAGCUUUGCAUUUUAUGCUAAGAAAUUUGGAUUUGUUCCCAUAGAUAAUGGAGAAACUUCUGAUAUCUUUUAAGAAGGGGGAAGAUAGAAUCAAAUUUGAUUUUAUUAACUCAUGUGGCAACGUGGAAGGUGGAUUGAAGGUAGAGAGACUCCUUUAUUCAUUAGGAGACUGUUGUGAUCAUUCAAGCAAGGAAUAAUGACCUGAGUUAGAGAGUUGUUCUAGGGGUACAGAGAAGGGUGUGCUUUAUUCAUUCAUUAUUUGAGAAAUGUUUAAGUCCCUGUUAUGUGUCAGACAGAGAGUUAGUUGUACAUUGGGUUAACAAGGUGAACAUGAUACACUUAAUGCCUUCAGGGAGCUUCCAGUCUAGUGUUAUUUGUCUAUAUUUGACAAGUAACAGGCAAUUACAGUUUUCAGAUACUAUAACAAGGAGCUUAUGAUAGCAUGUAGACCUUAACCCAGCCUCAGGGAGCAGGGACUCCUUUUUAGGAAAGCAUGAGUAGAAGUCAGCUAAGUAAAGUUGUGCAAGAUGUAGGGGUGGGGAUUUGGGGUGUUGGAAAGACACAAAUGUUUCAGUUGAGGAAAUUGUGGCUGGAGGAGGUGAGAGAAAAACUCUAGCUUGUUUACGGAACUAUGGAUCGUUUAGUGUGGCUGGAUUGUGGAGGGCAGGGAAGUGGGUUGCGAGAAAUGAGGCCAGGGGAAUUAACCAGUCACCUUAUGAACUAUGAGGAGGAGUUUGCUUAAGAGCAAGUGAACUGUUUUAAGGUGGAGAGGGUCAUGAUAAAAUUAGACCUUUAGAAAAAUCCCUCCGGCUGCUUCGUGGAGGACUGGGAGAGGAGGAGGAUAACAAGGUGUCAGGGAGGUAGGGGAGGGUUUUUUAUUUGUUUGUUUUAUUUUUUGAAGCAGAAGGAAGACUGAAGAAGGGAGUGGUCGGUUUUGUCUGAGACUGUUGGGAAGUCCUUAAGAUAGAGACUGGGAAGUAUCUACUGAAUUUGCUAUGAGUGGGUCAGUUGGUGACCUUUGUGAGGAGAGUUUCCGUGGAGUAGUUGGGGUGGGAGGCAGAUUCCACGGAGUUGAGGAGUGUUAGGUGAGGAGGUGGCAGCACUUGUCCUAGCAGAUUGGCCAUGAGGAGGUAAGCUGCCGCUGGGAGAAAAGGGAAGAGGAAGAGCCAAGUAAGUGACUGAAGGUUCUAAUGAGAUUGAAGAGUAUCUGUUGCUGUGGUCGCUCCAAGGGGAACAGUGAGGUGGGGGAGGAGAAUUAACAUUUAUUUGAAUGCUUGUUUGAAGGCUUGUUGUUCCUCAUAAUUUUGCAGGACGGGUAUUAUGAUUGUUAGAAAAGUCCGUCUAGCUUGAUGCAGAUAUGGAACUUCAGGAUUUCAAGACUUGAAGUAGUUAUGGAUUAUGACUAAUCCAGGAGUGGGAUUGGGACAACAAAGUAGAGUGGAGAUAAAGGUCCUUGGCAAUAAGGUCAUAGUUAUGGGAAGUUGCCUAGGAUGGUUGUAACUAGGACGGAAAAGGCAGAGACAGAUGCCAGAUUCUUCUUGUUCACGUAAAAGAAUAAAACAGUCAGUUAUUUUACCAGCAAAGCUGGCUUAUUUGGGAGCAGCAUAGAAUUGCACUUCAGAACAUGCAACUAUGUCAAACCACAAAUGAUAGUCUGGUAAAGCAAAGGAGAGGGAACUCUUUUAUAGAGGAGAAGGGGAAGUUGGGAGGGGCUGUUAUACACAAAAAGUCCUUUGGAGGGACCUGGGAAUUCGAAGGAUAGUGGGCUUUUCAUUUGCUGAGUUGUGAGUCUCUCAUUGGCUGAGCUGUUGCCUGGCGAGGGGAAAAUCUUCCUCCUGCUGUCAGAGAUGCAAAGUACAUCUCUUCCUGCUGGGAUCUGUGCUGAUGACAAGUGGUAUGUGCGUGAGAGCUCCCCCUUCUGGCCUCCUGACUCCAUUUUAGUGAGGUUUCCCUUUAUUAGUUUUCACAUUCUCCAUAUAUUGAAAGUUUUCACAUUCUCCAUAUAUUGAAAGAUGACCUGGAAAUGACUUAUGACAUUGACUUAGAUAGUAGUGUAGUUGAGUGACAGCUCAACCUCCCUGGAGAGGAAGGUUUCCCUGCUGUCCCCCCACCUAUCUGAACGUGGGAGAACUUUGGGGAGAGGGAAUUAUGAUAUCCCAUAUUCUAGUUCCUAUUUAUGAGGAAAAUUUGCCAAGAAGGUAGACUUUUUUAGUUGAGCUCCUUUGCUGAGAGAUCAGUGAAUGCUCUUUUAUGAAUAGAUUUAGUCUGUGAUUUCUCUGUGGAGAAGAUUACUGUCAGUUUUUUUUCAUAUGAAUGUGUUUGGAAAACUGCUGCUAAGCAACCUUUUGUCAUUUCCUAAUGUUUCUAUAAUCUGGUGUCAAUGUCUAAUGAUCUCAUUGGACUAGUGAUCUUCCCUCCAGCUAUGCUGGCAUCAAGUAAGUACAUUAAUAAACUUUAAGAAAUGCAUUCAUUAAAAUCCAGGUAAUCACUUUGGAGCAGGCCUUGGCAGUGUGUGAAUGAGCUGGACAAGUUAGAGAAAAUCUUGAGCCCGAAAGCUACUUUGUCUUUCAGGUUGGUUUGGGCACGGUAACAAGAGAUGAAUCAGUUGUAAUUUAAUGGGAUCUGUCAUUACUUUUAUAAGAUAUAUCACUUUAAUAUGAUGCUUUGUCAUUAAUGUUUUAGUAAUAUGAUAGUCUUAAAGAGAGUUGAUAUUCCCCCUGUUUUAUUAUUUCUUGGCUCCAUGACAGGACUAUGCAUUAAAAUGCACUUAAUAUUUUAAAAGGGAUGUCUAGGAAAGUAGUUAAAAAACAAACAAAUCCCAAGUGGCUUGAUCUGAUUCAUAAACCCUAACGAUGUGCAGCUAAUUGCAGAUAGAUUUUAUUUUUCAAGGUAUUGUGUCACCUCUCUUGUGUAUACCUUCUAUAUUGGAGCAUAAGUCAUAGAAAUGUUAUUUUGCCCAACAUUGGGUUUGAGAAAAUAGUUUCCAAGACAGGAAUAGCAGAACAGUGUUAUUUUAUGCUGUACUUUCCCCUUUUAUAUAAGCCUGCUAAAGUUCAGAGGUCAGGCAAAGAGGUUUUGGAGGUAAAAGUGAGCUGAUAGAAAUUUUUAGCAACAAUGAAAAAACAUAUAAUUAUCUAAUAUACAAACUUCAUAUUAGAUAUACCUUAUAUACGUAUCACCCACAAUCAGAUAAAUGCCAGUUACAAUGACAGUCGUUUUUACUUGCCAAAAUGGCAAAGCUUUAUUUAAAAAGAGAUCAUACUCAGUGUUGCUCUGGGGGCAGGGGACUAGAUAGGCACAACUUUAGUGGUACAUAUCCACAAUGUGUCAACAGCUUUCAAAGUGUAUACUCUUUGACUUAGCAGUUUCAUUUUUAGAAGUUUGUCUUACAGAAAUAAUUGCAGGUCAAAACGAAAAUGUACCCAUAAGAAUAUUUACUGAAACAUCGUUUGGAAUAGCAACAAAAAGAAACAAAACAAAACCCAAAAAGUCUAAUCCUGGAAGAGCAAUUUUAAAUUAUGACACAUUUUCAUAACGUUGUAGAAAACUAAAGACAUUGAAAGAUAAACAAUAUGUGUUCUUAAGUGGAAAAAGCAUAUUUCAUAGGCCAUGACCAGUUUAUGGGAUUCGUUUGGGAAGAUACUAAAUUAAAGCAACGUAUGGAAAGAUGAUUUGUAUUUAAAGCCAGAUCGCUAGAUCGUGGAAAAUUGAAGCAUUUUCCUGAAUUGCUUCCUCAGAUCAAGAAUAUUUUUCAAUUAAAGGCCUUCUUAGAGAUCCAGCUGCCUCCUGUGUCUCACAAGAUUCUACUCUUACCGAUCUGCUAAGACCUACAAAUAUGUUGAACUUCAAACUGAUAUAAAAACAAGUGUUCAUCUGGAUUGACUAAGAUAGCAGUUAGGAUUGUAAUUAAUUUGCCAUUGCCGAUCUACCCGGAGCUUAGAAGAAUCACAGAUUUUUAAGAAUUUUAGAGGAAUUGAAGUUGCAGUUUCAGAAAAGUUGCAGGACAUUUACGGUUUGGAAGUGUAAUUGGAACACAAACAUCUAUCUAUGGCUUAAUUAUCAAACACUUGGCCUGUUAUGGCAACUUCAUGUAAAGAAGUGAUGGAUAUAAAAGUCAACUGUAUCUACCAAUAAAAAAACAUCAAAAUGCUUUAAACUUUGUAUUUGAACCUAUGAUUCCAGGACUGUUCUAACAUAUUUUAACUCUAUGGUCAAACUCUAGGCAAGUUUGGUUCCCUUAUGUUUGUGCAAAUACAUUUUUUUCAUAAACCUUUUGAAGUAAAAGCUAAGAAUUAUGAUUAGUUGUGUAAGUCUGGAAUCUGAUUUGAAAUGUUCCUUGAUUUCAUAUCCCUUUGUUCUUGAAGGUAGUAUCUCUAUAGUUGUCAAUAUUCUCUUUGAUUUAUUCAAAAUGGAUCAGUUAAUAAAAUUAGUUCCCUAACUG